AAACCUACAAAUAUGAACACACGUUUAGUAUAAUGCCUUGAGAACGUGUUUCCAACAAAAGUAAUAUAAUACAUGAAGCAUGGAAGAAGCAAACAGUAUUAAUUGAUAGUACCAAAAUGAACAAUAAAUUUUCCUCCCUUAAUGCACGCUGAUAAGAACUAUAGUGUGCACUCUCAUUUCGUAGUUUUCUAUUGGAAUAAGUAAGGCAAGAAAUGACUCAUUCAGCGUGAGUGGAUUUUUUUUCAACUGUAAUAGACAACAAAUAAAAUGUCAAAAAAGAAAAAAGAUACUAUUCUGACUCUCGUUAUCAGCAAGAUGUUAUUCUUAUACAUGAUAUCAAUAUUCUUGCGGUGAACUAAACUACAUUAAAGCAAAUUGUGCACCAACCACAGGCAAUUGAGAAAGUGUGUUUGAAACCGAUGUAUUAAUAGGAUUAAGAUAAGAAAAAAGAAAUAAGCACAAUUUGACAUAAUAUUCAUCCCCGUGUAGUAUAUCAACUAUGUUCUUCAUCUUCUCUCGCUAGUGCUAAGAAUAAAAACGUUCGAGCACAAGUAUUUCAUAAUUGAGACAAACCUGCCUAAUCUCAAGAAUGUCUGGCACUAAGUUGAAGUUGUUGUACAUGCUUGCUGCACAAAAAAUAGAUUGAAUAACCAAAUAACGAGCAGUUUCUACAUAGCAACAUGUGUUACCGUCCAAUCUUUCUGACACGGAUUUUGUUUACUUAAAUUGAAGUAAUAACUAAAUGAAUGUAUAACUACACUGUCAAUAAGUGCUGAGCAUCACCAAAAUUCUUAAAUGUGUAGGAGUCAAGUAAUUGGUAAUACUUACUGAUGCACAUGAAUAAGAUAUCUAAAUAAUAUGAACAGCCAUGUAUUGAAAGGGUCAUCCACAUUCAUCCAACACGUCUUUCUUUGAGCAGAUAGCCAACGGAAUCAAUACGAAUGACAUGAUUUUCCGCAAAUGCUAGGACAUCUUGACAGAUAUCAGAUCCAAUAUGAUUUAAAUUGGAUCCAUGGGGUAUGCACGACCUCGUAAAUCCUUUUAUAUGCUACCUGUCCAUCAACACCUAGAAGAAACAACAAACUGAUACAGAGAUUAUAUGACACGACCCUGCCUAUUAAGAUUUUUUAUAUAUACUUUUGGAUGUUGUUGGAAGUGCUAGUAGUAUCCCAACUAUAAGAAGAGAGCAGUUGGAACCUGCAGCAAGUUUGGUUCGACGUCACUUCGUUGUGAGUGCCUCUACCAGUUCUCUUUCUUGACAAAUUUGUUUUCUACCUUCACUUUUGUGAGUAGUACCUCAUCUUCUGCAUCUGGUUUUAGUUCUUUUAGCAAGGGACCUGCAAACAAAAGAAAUUACAGCCAUAUACAGUUCCUUCCAUAAACCAUGUAUUAUCAAAUUUAUUUACUUAAGAAUGAAGAAGAAAGUAUCUUUUGAAUCUAAAUAGGAUGGUUAACGUACAUAUUAACUAACAUCACAGUCAACCAAAUCAGCAAGGCGUCCGUUACCAAUUUAUAUUAUGUCAACAACAAAAAGCAUCAUUUUAUUUAUUCCAAUUUUGGUACUUCCCAGGGCAUUAAAAGCCAAGAUAAACUUAAAAAGCUAGAUAAAGAGCACACCUUUCAACUUUCAUGGUGCAAAUCACGAACAAAACAUAUUACAUGGGCUCUGCAUAUAACAUAAUACAAAAUUAUCUCAAUACACAAAUCACAAGUUUGAACGGUCUAAUGGAAAGAGGAACUUAUGCAUUCAUAGUACACACAAAAGUGUUUGCUUUUAUGCUUGUCCAUCUUUUUUCAACUUGUCCGUCUUCUCUACUCCAAUUGCUCUUAUAGAUAUGCUAUUUCACUCUCAUAUUUGAUGCUAAACUUUUAGGUGAAUAGUUAAGGAAUUUUCGUCUAUUUUAGCAGUUACCUCUCGCAUAAGUAGGAAGAGUAUAAGGCCCUAUGUAGUAACAAUAUGUUUUUGUUCAAACAUAUAGCUUUCCUCAAGCUCAAGAGUUAAUCGAGGAAAUUGCAUUUGCUCCUUUUGGCAUAAAUAUAGGCUUCCUUCACAAAAUAAUUGAGUAUUUUGGAUUACGUAGCGCAAUGCACUACAGCUUGCAUUCGAUAAACCUAAAUUCUUAACUGUACCUCAAAAUGAUGUCUAAAAAGAAUAAUAAAAUGUAAAUUAGAGUAAACAUGAUAUAAUCUAGCCAUAAUUAAUUCAAUACUGCAGGGAAGAACAAAUCAUAAUUAUUACGCAGUUACUCUACUGUGGGUAAUUGAAGUUGGGGUAGUCUCAUCACUUGCCUAUUUUGAAACCUUGACAGUGUUGCUCCAUAUUAGUCUGUCAAAAUUCUCGUGGACUAUCUUCACACAACUUACGAACAGUUUUACUAAUACACAAACAAUACUUCAGUAUAGAUAUCAGAACUUUACAAUUCCAGAAAGGAGCAAAAGGCAAGAAAUUCAAACCUUAGGCUUGCUAUAAUUAAAUCGUCUUAAAUUCGGUAAGAACACAGAAAGUUCAACGGUUAAACACAACAGAGUAAAAAGCAGAGCAGUUCAACCAAGUUUAUUUUUAACUUAAAUUAGAAAUUUUGGAGCAUUUAGUAUUACUAUUACUAUUUCAACUGGUACAAACUCCCACAACCACGAAAUCAAAACCUGCGAUAUCAUCCUCACUUAGUAUCGGUGUUCUACUUGAUUCACCCUUCUCCCAUAGUUAUUGAGAGAUCAUAUUUAUAUAGCCUGGGAUGGUGAUAUUUUUCUGCAUUAGACCUCUAAAAACAGGUCCAACAAAAGUAUAAAUAAAACAUGACUGGACGCACUAAAAUGGACUUUACAAUACACGCAAUAAAGGAUAAUCGCAUAGACAAAAUUCAUAUAUUAUAUUGGAGAACCACAAUUAUCCAUAAAUAGAACUAAAGAUUAACUUAUUUCUUGCUUUAAAGAAGAAAACUCGCUGUUUAAAGCUCGCUUUGGAGCAAAACAAAAGAAGAAGUAUCUCAAGGUUAAUUCGAUACAAACCAGCUAGUCAGAAUUUGAAAAAAAAAAAUUGAAUUUUAUUAUGGAAAUAGAUAUGUUACUUUAUAGCUAUCUAAUCAAGUCACACCCGUUGAGCACAUAACAAUCAUGGAAUAGCAAAAUUAGGAUGUACGAAGAGAACCCCAAAAAAAAGCACUGAAAGGAAAAAAACAAAGAAGAGAAGCGAAAGAAAAAAUGAAGAAAAAAAGAUAUGAGGAAAAUCAGAAAAGAGCAGCGAAAGAGAAUUGAAAAGAACCCCAAUCUGACCUAAUUCGAAGAGAAUACUCUUCAAAAAAGAGUCUUAAGGAAAAUGAAAUUACUACCACUAUCUAUUUCUUUGCAUCUAUCUGCGUCUAAUCACAAUUGCAUAUUUAACCCACAAUCGCCAUUAUAUUGGAAAUUAGGAAAAGAAGCGGAAAAAGAAAAAACAAAUGAAGGAAAAAGUGGAGAAGAUAUGGGCAAAAUUAAUUGAAAGAGGAACAUACCAGCAGGUAAAACAUUCAACAACACAAACAAAGUUGAGAAGAAGAGCAAAGAGAGAGACUCUCGCAAUUGUUGUAGAUAGAAGCUGACUCCUUGACAAUUCAAAGAACCAAAGGGAAAAACCAAUACUACGCCUGUAGGGGAUAUCCAAUUUACACGUAGGCUGGUCUAAACAGUAUAAGACACGUAAAAUAAAUAAGGCAGAAUUCUGUAAUUGUUUCGUUUUGACAUCUCGGUCCCUAUAUUUUAUAA
rnacentral:lncRNA from 1 species